GCACCCUCGGGACUCAUCCUACACCCUCGGGAUGGUGCUGAGCACCCUCGGGACUCAUCCCGCACCCUCGGGACUUAUCCUGCACCCUCGGGACUUAUCCUGCAACCUCGGGACGGUGCUGAGCACUUUCGGGAUGGUGCUCAGCACCCUCAGGACGGUGCUCAGCACCCUCGGGAUGGUGCUCAGCACCUUCAGGACUCAUCCUGCACCCUCAGGACUCAUCCUGCACCCUCGGCACGGUGCUCAGCACCUUAGGGAUGGUGCUCAGCACCCUCGGGACUUAUCCUGCACCCUCGGGACUCAUCCUGCACCCUCGGGAUGGUGCUCAGAACACUCGGGAUGGUGCUCAGCACCCUUGGGACGAUACUCAGCACCUUUGGGACUCAUCCUGCAUCUUCGGGACUCAUCCUGUGACCCUGACUGUGCCAUCCCUUGUCCCCAGGUGACGUUUGACAACCGCGCCCACAGCGGGCGAGUGCGGAUCCGCCUGGACACCCACGUGGUCAUCCGGGAGUGCCACCACCCCUCGCUGCCUGGCACAGGUGACAGCGGUGUCCCCACAGAACUUCUCAGACUACGACGUGUGCAGCAUCCUUCUGGGGACAUCCACGCUGCUCGUCUGGGUCAAUGUCAUCCGGUACCAGACCUUCUUCCAGAAAUACAACGUGAGUGACACUGGGGACACACCUGGGGACAGCUGGGGACACACCUGGGGACACACCUGGGGACACCUGGGGACAUGGACAGGGUUAAAUCCCAUUUUUCCUGCCCAAAAUCCUCUUUCUGACACUUGGGGUGGGGACACUUCCCAUUUUCCCUCCCCAAAUCCCCAUUUUCCCACCCCAAAUCCCCGUUUUCCCCUCGGGACGGUGCUCAGCACCCUCGGGACUCAUCCUGCACCCUCGGGAUAGUGCUCAGCACCCUCGGGACCUUUGACCCUGUUCCCUUUGAUCCCAUUACCUUUUUUCCCAAUUUCCGGUUCUCCCAUAAUUCCCUUUUUUUUCUUUAUUCCUGGUUUGAUGUUUUCUUUCCCGUUUUUUUUUCUUUUUCCCUAUUUCCAGGGUUUUUUCUUUAUUCCCGUUUCUCCCCCCGAUUCCCGUGAUUUUCCCGAUACCCAGUUUUUUCUUUAUUCCAGUUUUUUUCCCCCCGAUUCUCGGUUUUUCUUUUCCUGAUUCCUGGGAUUUUCCCUAUUCCCGGUUUUUCUUUAUUCCCGUUUUUUUUUCCCCAUUCCCGAUUUUUUGCCCCCAAUUCCCAUUUUCCUGAUUCCCACCUUUUCCCCCAAUUCCUGAUUUUCCCCCAAUUCCUGUUUAUUUUUCCCCGAUCCCGCCAUUUUCCUCUUAAACUGUGCCGGGGUUUCUUGCCCUCGCGGUGUCACCAUGGGAGCAGCCCUGGCGCGGGCGCUGCUGCUGCUCCUGCGGGCUUAGAACCCACAGGGAGAUCUAGAACCUCAGCACCCUGCAGGAUAGUCUAGAACCCCAAGGGUGACCUAGAACCUCAGCAACAGGCAGGAUAGUCUAGAACCCCACGGGGUGAUCUAGAAUCUCAGCACCGCUCAGCACCAAACAGGAUAGUCUGGAAACCCGCAGGACGGAUCCAGCACCUUCUGGAAGUUGCUCAGCACCCUCGGGAUGGUGCUCAGCACCCUCGGGACGCAUCCUGCACUCUCUGGAAGGCGCUCAGCACCUUUGGGACGCAUCCUGCUCGCUAAGGAAGACGCUUAGCACCCUCGGGACGCAUCCAGCACCUUCUGGAUGGCGCUCAGCCCCUUCUGGAAGGCGCUCAGCACCCUCGUGACAGACCCAGCACUUUCUGGGAGGUGCUCAGCACCCUUGGGACGCAACCUGCACCCUCUGGAAGGUGCUUGGCACCCUUGGGAUGCAUCAAGGACCAUCUGGAAGGCGCUUAGCACCCUCGGGACACAUGCUGCACCCUCUGGAAGGCGCUCAGCACCCUUGAUACACAUCCAGGACCAUCUGGAAGGUGCUCAGCACCGUCGGGACAGAUCCUACACCCUCUGGAAGGUGCUCAGCACCCUCGGGAUGCAUCCAGGACCCUCUGUCAGGUGCUCAGGACCCACAGGGAGAUCUAGAACCUCAGCACCGCUCAGCACAAGGCAGGAUAGUCUAGAACACCACCAAGGUUAUCUAGAACCUCAGCACCAGUCAGGAUAGUCUAGAACCCUGUGAGACGGAUACAGGACCUUCUGGAAGGCACUCAGCACCCUCGGGAUGCAUCCUGCCCCCUUUGGCAGGCGCUCAGGACUCACAGGGAGAUCUAGAACCUCAGCACCGCUCAGCACCAGGCAGGAUUGUCUAGAACCCCGCCGGGGUGAUCUAGAACCUCAGCACCAGUCAGGAUAGUCUAGAACCCCGCGGGAUGGAUACAGGACCUUCUGGAAGGCGCUCAGCACCCUCGGGACAGAUCCGUGACCUUCUGGAAGGUGCUCAGCACCUUCUGGACCAAUCCUGCACCCUCUGGAAGGCGCUCAGCACCAUUGGGUAGCAUCCAUGACCAUCUGGAAGGUUCUCAGCACCCUCGGGACAGAUCCAGCACCCUCUGCAAGGCUCUCAGCACCUUGUGGAAGGCACUCAGCACCCUCAGGACGCAUCCUGCACCUUCUGGAAGGCGCUUAGCACCCUCAGAACGCAUCCAGCACCUUCUGGAAGGUGCUCAGCAUCACCGGGACGGAUCCAGCACCCUCUGGAAGGCACUCAGCACUCUCGGAAAGGAUCCUGCACCCUCAGAAAGGCGCUCAGCACCCACGAGACGGAUCCUGCACCUUCUGGAAGGCGUUCAGCACCCUCGGGACAGAUCCAGGACCUUCUGGAAGAUGCUCAGCACCCUCAGGACGGAUCCAGCACUUACUAGAAGGCGUUCAGCACCCUCGGGACACAUCCAGGACCUUCUGGAAGGUUCUCAGCACAUAAAUGCCAACUUACCUGCUCAUCUCUGCUCCUUGGCAUGCUCAGGGCAGCAGCAACACCUGCAAAGACAGAGCGGAAAAAAGCACUCUUUUCUCCCACCCACACAAGGUGGGAUUCAUGAUGUGGUUCUUUUAUUCGAUCUUAGAAUACAAAAGAUUAUCAGCAAACCAGGGACUUCAAACAGAAAAAAAACAGUUAGUCCCACCUCUUGUACUCAAAGAUCCCCUGUAAAGUUCUGAAGACAGAGCCCUCAAACGAGUGUGGGGUGCUUUGCACCGAGGCAUGUGCAGUUUGUGAGAAAUUCAAAUCGCCUCCCUUGCUUUCUAGACACUGCUCACCGGCGUGGCAGGCUAGGGGCAGCUGAAGCGAAAUGUCCUUCCCCUGAUACUGACUACACAACAACUCUGCAACCCCUUCUGUGUCUCAGAAUCCUGUUCGUGAUGUCAAUUUGUGUCAUGAUCUGCAAGGUGGGAUUCAUGAUGUGGUUCUUUUAUUUGAUCUUAGAUUACAAAAGAUUAUCAGCAAACCAGGGACUUAAACAGCAGAACACACUUAGACCUUGACCCACCAGUCCUCAGGCAUCCUGGGCUGGGACAUCUUACAAGUAGACCACCUAAAAUAAAACAACAAGAGAUUACA
rnacentral:lncRNA from 1 species